rnacentral:misc_RNA from 1 species
GGCAGUGCAGAAGGUGGUGGUCCACCCCCUGGUGCUGCUCAGUGUGGUGGAUCAUUUCAACCGAAUCGGCAAGGUUGGAAACCAGAAGCGUGUUGUUGGUGUGCUUUUGGGGUCAUGGCAAAAGAAAGUACUUGAUGUAUCGAACAGUUUUGCAGUUCCUUUUGAUGAAGAUGACAAAGACGAUUCUGUAUGGUUUUUAGACCAUGAUUAUUUGGAAAACAUGUAUGGAAUGUUUAAGAAAGUCAAUGCCAGGGAAAGAAUAGUUGGCUGGUACCACACAGGCCCUA